rfam:Myotis brandtii contig242299, whole genome shotgun sequence.
CGUGCACCGGUGGGGUCCCUCAGCCUGGCCUGCAUCCUCUCGCAAUCUGGGACCCCUCGGGGGAUGUUGGAGAGCCGGUUUCGGCCUGAUCCUGCAGGCCAGGCUGAGGGACCCCACUGUUGCAUG